UACGUAGGUGGCAAGCGUUGUUCGGAAUUAUUGGGCGUAAAGGGCGCGUAGGCGGUUUGUUAAGUCGGCUGUGAAAGCCCGGGGCUCAACCCCGGAGGGUCAGCCGAUACUGGCAGACUAGAGUACGGAAGAGGUAGCUGGAAUUCCAGGUGUAGCGGUGAAAUGCGUAGAUAUCUGAAGGAACAUCAGUGGCGAAAGCGACUUCCUGGACCAAUACUGACGCUCAUGUGCGAAAGCGUGGGGAGCAAACAGG
rnacentral:rRNA from 1 species